rnacentral:rRNA from 1 species
UACGUAGGUGGCGAGCGUUGUCCGGAUUUACUGGGCGUAAAGAGCGCGCAGGCGGUCGUUCAAGUCGCGUGUGAAAGCCCCCGGCUCAACUGGGGAGGGUCACGCGAUACUGAUCGACUCGAAGGCAGGAGAGGGUAGUGGAAUUCCCGGUGUAGUGGUGAAAUGCGUAGAUAUCGGGAGGAACACCAGUGGCGAAGGCGACUACCUGGCCUGUUCUUGACGCUGAGGCGCGAAAGCUAGGGUAGCAAACGGG